ACUGCAAUUGCCAGGAUCAGAAUGCCUUUUGGAACAAUCGACCGGCGGAGUUCAUGAGGUACAAAAGCAAUGGUCCCAAUACCCCACGCGUUUUUUUAUGAAUAAAACUAGAACAUUUCACGCGCCCAACGCGCCCUACCAUUUGAACAAUUAAAUGCAAGCAAUAACAAACUAAUAACAACUAUAUACAUGGUAUAAGGUAAAAUAAAUCUAUCAAUAGAAUAUAGAAUACAGUAAGCACUACUUGUCCAACAGUCUCUCUACUCAUAAGUUUCUAAUUAAUAUGGGCCCGCAUGUCAGUAUUUAUUUAAUAUUUUAAUCCAAUCGUCUUCUCUCCUCGUGCCCUCCGCCCGCCGCGCCUUCUCGCCUCCAUGCUCGCGGACCUGCUUGCCUUCGUGCCUGCUCUACUUCCUGUCCUCGCUGAUUGCCGGCCGCCCGCUCCGCCUCCGUGGUUUGCCGGCUACUCGCUCCGCCUCUGUCCCCGCGGCUCGUCGACUCGCUCUGCCUCCAUGCCCGCGGCUCGUACUCAUUAGUCAUUCGUGCCCCCGCGACGGCUGCUCUCCUCGCCUACACCUACGUCGGUUGCCGCUACCCGCCUCGCCACCUCGCCCGACGCCGAUGGCCGCGCCCAGAGUCGCCUCGCCCCGCGCCGCGGUCGAGCUCCGCCCCCGCCCGUCCACCCGCGCUGGAGGCCGCCCGCUACGCGGUCGACUGCGACGAACACCGGUCCCAUCCCCAUGAAGACCUCGCCUGUGCCGAACUCCACCCAGCCCGAGGAAAGCAUCAUGCACGAGCUCUGCUGCAGCGCCAGGCAAGCUUCUGUGCUGAGGCCGAGGCCGAGUUCCGCCCCCCGCAGCACGGUGGAGGGUAGAGGGGAGCUCGCCAUGCCCGGUCGCGUCGCACCACUCCUGCCCCGACCUCCGCGUGGGUGGAGGGCGGAGGGAGCUCGCCGUGCCUGGCCGCGCCGCUAAUCCUCCGAGCUCGGCGCCCCCGGCCACCCCGCGCGCUCCUCCGCCCAAGCACAGCGCGCCCGGCCGCCCCGCGCCGCUCCUCCGCCCAAGCUCAGCGCGCCUGGCCGCUUCGUGCCGCUCCGCGGCUCCUCCGCCCGAGCAGAGAGAGAGAAUGGUGGGUCCUUUGUGUGCCGAAGCACAGAGAGAGAGAGAGAAUUGUGGGAGACGGCAGACGCGCACAUGGUGUGGGGUGGACACGGAGCGCUCCUCCCGCUGCCGGACGCACGCUGCGCAACACGUUUCCA
rnacentral:lncRNA from 1 species